rnacentral:sRNA from 1 species
UGGGGCACAGAAAAAAUAGAUAGGGGCAGCUCUAAAGACCAGCUGUUAAGACAGACAACUGCAAACUCAUUUAAGCAAGAGAAAAACAGCUCUAAUUCGAGAUUGUGAAGCAACACUUCUAAAUUCAAAGACAUAGAGUUGUCAAAUCAGGAUUUUUUAAAAAAAUGAUAUCCUUUCGAAUGUAACUGAUUUUGGGAAAAUCACAUGUUCAGAAUUGAGGCUAAAUGGUUUGAUCAGGUUUUCUCUUUGAAGAGACCACAGCCUUAGGAAAUGGUUCUUGAUCUAUACAAUUCCACCUUGGACACUGGGUUAAUUCUGUUUGCCCCUGGAACACAAUCACUGCCUGGCUCAAAAGCUACUGCAAGCUCGUUACUGCUCAUCCUCCAGAGGCCCACAUCAAGUCAGCCACGACUCAAGGAGACUCCAAAGAUAAAAGCUGAAGCCAAAAUAUAUGAUUCUAAACACCCUCCUCAGCUACUGCAAAGCACUGUGAGCACUUUCUCAGGACGAGAGCCAAGAGCCCAGCACCUGUGGGUCACCACAGUUUCUGAGGUCCCAGAUGAAAAAGAUGCGCUCGCUACCACCGUGCGGCGGUCCUUUCUCUCGCAAUAGUCUGAAUGCUCCCGGGCCCUGCCUCCGGACGCCAGGACAGAGGCCGCCGACUCGAAGCGUGAGCAGUUCCGGAGGUACUUGGAGAAGUCGGGGGUGCUGGACACGCUGACCAAGGUGUUGGUAGCCUUAUAUGAAGAACCAGAGAAACCUAACAGUGCUUUGGAUUUUUUAAAGCAUCACUUAGGAGCUGCUACUCCAGAAAAUCCAGAAAUAGAGCUGCUUCGCCUAGAACUGGCCGAAAUGAAAGAGAAGUAUGAAGCUAUUGUAGAAGAAAAUAAAAAACUGAAAGCAAAGCUUGCUCAGUAUGAACCACCUCAGGAGGAGAAGCGUGCUGAAUAGGAUUCUUCUCAGUUUGAAAGACAAUGAAAAAUGGUGGUGUUUCAUAAGAUGUCACCCAACGAGACCCUCUUUUUGGAAAGUACCAACAAGAUUUAUAAGGACGACAUUUCCAAUAGCUCCUUUGUGAAUUUCCAGAUAUGGGAUUUUCCUGGGCAAAUGGACUUUUUUGACCCAACCUUUGACUAUGAGAUGAUCUUCAGGGGAACAGGAGCAUUGAUCUACGUCAUUGACGCACAGGAUGACUACAUGGAGGCUUUAACAAGACUUCACAUUACUGUUUCUAAAGCCUACAAAGUUAACCCAGACAUGAAUUUUGAGGUUUUUAUUCACAAAGUUGAUGGUCUGUCUGAUGAUCACAAAAUAGAAACACAGAGGGACAUUCAUCAAAGGGCCAAUGAUGACCUUGCAGAUGCUGGGCUAGAAAAACUCCAUCUUAGCUUUUAUCUGACUAGUAUCUAUGACCAUUCAAUAUUUGAAGCCUUUAGUAAGGUGGUGCAGAAACUCAUUCCACAGCUGCCGACCUUGGAAAACCUAUUAAAUAUCUUUAUAUCAAAUUCAGGUAUUGAAAAAGCUUUUCUCUUUGAUGUUGUCAGCAAAAUCUACAUUGCAACAGACAGUUCCCCUGUGGAUAUGCAAUCUUAUGAACUUUGCUGUGACAUGAUCGAUGUUGUAAUUGAUGUGUCUUGUAUAUAUGGGUUAAAGGAAGAUGGAAGUGGAAGUGCUUAUGACAAAGAAUCUAUGGCAAUUAUCAAGCUGAAUAAUACAACUGUCCUUUAUUUAAAGGAGGUGACUAAAUUUUUGGCACUGGUCUGCAUUCUAAGGGAAGAAAGCUUUGAACGAAAAGGUUUAAUAGACUACAACUUCCACUGUUUCCGAAAAGCUAUUCAUGAGGUUUUUGAGGUGGGUGUGACUUCUCACAGGAGCUGUGGUCACCAGACUAGUGCCUCCAGUCUGAAAGCGCUGACACACAAUGGCACGCCACGAAACGCCAUCUAGUCUGAAUCCCAGCGUCGGGGCUCUGUGCCAGCUUACUCUUCACUCCAGGGUCGGAUGCCACGUGCUACAGGACAUGGGAGCUGCCGCUUGUGGGAAUCUGGUGCCUGUUCCACUAGAGACAAGGGGUAGAGUUUCUCAUUUGGAUGAAAACCCCUUCAACUGGUGGUGUACAACUGAAGCUACUAUUUCUUUUUUGAAAAUGGCAAAAAAAAAAAAAAAAAAAAAAA